CUACGGGCGCAGCAGUGGGGAAUAUUGCACAAUGGGCGCAAGCCUGAUGCAGCCAUGCCGCGUGUAUGAAGAAGGCCUUCGGGUUGUAAAGUACUUUCAGCGGGGAGGAAGGGAGUAAAGUUAAUACCUUUGCUCAUUGACGUUACCCGCAGAAGAAGCACCGGCUAACUCCGUGCCAGCAGCCGCGGUAAUACGGAGGGUGCAAGCGUUAAUCGGAAUUACUGGGCGUAAAGCGCACGCAGGCGGUUUGUUAAGUCAGAUGUGAAAUCCCCGGGCGCAACCUGGGAACUGCAUCUGAUACUGGCAAGCUUGAGUCUCGUAGAGGGGGGUAGAAGUCCAGGUGUAGCGGUGAAAUGCGUAGAGAUCUGGAGGAAUACCGGUGGCGAAGGCGGCCCCCUGGACGAAGACUGACGCUCAGGUGCGAAAGCGUGGGGAGCAAACAGGAUUAGAUACCCCCGUAGUC
rnacentral:rRNA from 1 species